rnacentral:piRNA from 1 species
UAUUUUGAAUAAAAUUUUCGG